rnacentral:rRNA from 1 species
CCCGCACAAGCAGCGGAGCGUGUGGUUUAAUUCGAUGUUACACGAAGAACCUUACCAGGGUUUGACAUGCAAGUGGUAGGAAGCCGAAAGGUGACCGACCCUUCGGGGAGCUUGCACAGGUGCUGCAUGGCUGUCGUCAGCUCGUGUCGUGAGAUGUUCGGUUAAGUCCGCUAACGAGCGCAACCCUCGCUGUGUGUUAUAUGUGUCACACGGGACUGCCGGUCUUAAGCCGGAGGAAGGUGGGGAUGAUGUCAAGUCAGCAUGGCCUUUAUAUCCUGGGCUACACACACGCUACAAUGGCCAACACAAUAGGUUGCUAAGCCGCGAGGUGGCGCCAAUCCAUAAAGUUGGUCUCAGUUCAGAUUGUAGGCUGCAACCCGCCUGCAUGAAGAUGGAGUUGCUAGUAACCGCAGGUCAGCUAUACUGCGGUGAAUACGUUCCCGGGUCUU